GGAGGACAGGAAAAACAUAUGUGUAUAAGACAAUCAUUUCAAGGUUAAGAUCAGAAGGAAAAAUUGUGCUACCAUUGACAUCAUCUGGAAUUACAACUAUACUUUUACUUAAUGUAGAACAUCACAUUGGCGUUUCGAGAUUCCGAUAGAUCUUCAUCAAGAAAGUAUGUGCAAUAUUAGUCGUUGUACCAUGCUUUUUGAAUUACUAAAAAAAAAAAACAAAUCUCACCAUUUGGGAUGAAGCACCUAUGUGCCAUUAAUUUGCAUUUGAAGCUCUUGAUA
rnacentral:lncRNA from 1 species